ensembl:snRNA U6 U6 spliceosomal RNA
AUGCUCGCUUUGGCAGCAUAUAUACUAAAAUUGAAGCAAUACAGAAGAUUAGCAUGGUCCCUGCACAAGGAUGACACGCAAAUUCCUGAAGCAUUCCAAAUUAAA